GUGGUGCUGGCAAGAAAUUGCCCCAUCCUCCUUAUCAGACCUACUUGGCUGCCCGAUCCAGACCCGUCCCUUGUACAGUCACAGCUCACUGCAGCCUUGACCUCCUGGGCUCAAAGUAUCCUCAAACCUCACCCUCUGAGUAGCUGGGACUACAGGCACAUGCCACCAUGCCUGAGUCGAGCCUGCCUGGCCAAGGCAAAGCUAGAUCAGCUGAAGUACAGC
rnacentral:lncRNA from 10 species